GGUUAAGCGACUAAGCGUACACGGUGGAUGCCCAGGCAGUCAGAGGCGAUGAAGGACGUGCUAAUCUGCGAUAAGCGUCGGUAAGGUGAUAUGAACCGUUAUAACCG
rnacentral:rRNA from 1 species